UACAGAGGUGGCAAGCGUUGUUCGGAAUUACUGGGCGUAAAGGGUUCGUAGGUGGCCAACUAAGUCAGACGUGAAAUCCCCCGGCUUAACCUGGGAACUGCGUCUGAUACUGGAAGGCUUGAGUUCGGGAGAGGGAUGUGGAAUUCCAGGUGUAGCGGUGAAAUGCGUAGAUAUCUGGAGGAACACCGGUGGCGAAGGCGGCAUCCUGGACCGAAACUGACACUGAGGCGCGAAAGCCAGGGGAGCAAACGGG
rnacentral:rRNA from 1 species